ensembl:lncRNA
CGACGAGCGCCCAACCAGCGGCAACCGCGCACCGCCCGCCUUCACGGAGCGGCGCCCCCGGGCCGCUAUACCUGGGCCGGGCCGGGCCGGGCCGGGCCGGAGCGGGAGGGGCGGAGAGGGGAGAGCUGGGCGCGCACGGGGCCGCACCUCAGUGGUAAGUGGGGGAAGCGCGGCCGCGGGAGUUGCCCUGCCCGUGAACAUCGAGCUGCCUGUAACGCUAUUCGGUAUUUUUAUUCUUUCUUUGUAAUUCUCCCCGGGAGAUAAACCGUGUGUGCGUUGCCGAGGGAGGUGUCUGAAGCGCUAUGGGAAGCACAAGCAGGACAGAAAUUCCAGGAGGGGAGGCGGUGUGAACGCAGUUUUGAAGACAUUGAUCCCUUCCUAGGAUGGAAGAGGAAGGAAAGUAGGCACGUGCUUUGGGUACCAAUGUAAGUAAUCAGAAGCAGGAAUAACAGGGAUGCUGUUCAGUGUUUAUUGCUUUCUUUUUUUCCAGAAUUCCAGGAAGAAUUCUUUUAGAAAAGAACGUUGUUCUGUUACAGAUACCACAGAUGCUAAUUUCUCCUGUUCCAUCAACCGUUUAAAUGCUGUAAUCGAUCCUGAACUUAACGUUUUGCAGUACACUCUACCAACAUACCAUGAACUCAGGAGCAGAUUAGUCAUGGGAAGAUAGCGUCUGCCGGACUCGAUUAAGGCUUUGGUCCAUCAACUGCAGUGCUCUGCCGCCAGCCGUGCCCACUGCCCCACGCUUCAGUCAGGAGUGGUAUCAGAUGAACUGCAGUAAAUCAUGAAGUUGAACGUGUCAGUGAUAUCACAUAAGUGUUAGUGACUACGAAUUGACAUAUUAUGACAGCUGGGAAAGCAUUUAGAAAAAAAAAAAAAGAGUUCAUAGGAGGGUUUGAGUUGAGAUGGAUCUUAAAAGGCCCCUCCCCUGCAAUGAGCAGGGGCACCUACAGCUAGAUCAGGGUGCUCAGAGCCCCUCCAGCCUGACUUGGAAUGUCUCCAGGGACACAGCAUCUGCCACCUUUCUGGGUAACCUGUUCCAGCACCUCAAUACCCUUACUAAAACAAACUUUAUAUUUAAUCAGAAUCUCUCCUCUUUUAGUUUGAAACCAUUUCCCCUUGUUCUAUCAAUUGAGAGCUGAAUGAUUUUCUAGAGAAGCUAUGGUAACAUACACAGGUUGGUCUCCAUAGCUUUCAUGAGCAAAUCAAAGUCAGAAAUGAGCUAUACUGCAGUGGGUUAUUCUGUCCAUUCGCUUAAGUGAUGCAAAAGGGUCACCUAUCAUGUAAUAACAUGCCUUUAUCUUUUCUUGCAAUAGUGAAGGUUUGCAACUGCUUUGGUGACAAUCAUGAUGAAAGAGUUGCUGGGGAUGUAUGGAGGAGGAACCAAGACUGUAUGUACAGUUUCAUUAUUAAGAAAACCACAUUGUCUACUGCCUAUCACUGGAAGUUUGAGCAGAUUCAUAUUUUUUAGUCUCAUGCUGUGUCCUAAAGAUUUGUGAAUUGUCAGAAUUUGAUCCUACAUCACGCUGAACAAUUUCUUCAGAUUCUUAAUGUUCUCAUCUUCUGUUAGAGCAGGGAAAUCUCAGCACCCACAAAAAUUCUUAGGUUUUAAGAGCAGCAUGGAUUAGUAGGAUUAGCUGAUGUAUCACCAUACAUGACAAAUGAUGGAACUUCAUACUGCAGCAAAGUAUCUUACUUGAAAUUGCUCAGCACCUGUCGAGUUGCUGUCGUACACAAAAUGGAGAACAGUUCUACGAACCCAUGGCAGCAUUAGUCAGACUCUGGCUGAGAGUGAUUACCAUCAGGUUACAAAAACUAAUGGAUGGGAGGAGCAACUACCUAUGAAGUGAGAGGUUUUAUUUUAAAUUGUGUUUAGAAGUAAUCUUUUAAAAUUCAUCACAAAAACACUUCAUUUGACUUUGUCCUUGAAGACCUAAAGGAGCAGUUGCUUUGGACAUGGAGGAAACCGCUGCUGUGGAAGGGUCUUUAGCCCAGGAUAGCUAAACAAAACAAAACAAACAAACAAACAAAAAAAGCUGUGAACAUUUACAUUUCAAAUUUCAUUUAGCCAGAAAGAAGCUUUCUCCAGAAGCUACACAGGUUCUGGAUCAGGAGAUCUCCUUACAUUUUUUUAAAAAAGUAAAACCUGCAGUAAUGUCAAGUAAAUGUUUUGUAAACAUGAACAGUUAUAUAAGGUUGCAAAUCUCAAAGCUUUCACAGUCAUAUUAAUGAAAAAUAUAUAAACCAGAUUUUUUUUUUUUAAUAGGAACAUGUAUAUUUUGAGAUGAUAAAAGUUUUUUUAAAAAAAUUGUAGGGAUUAUCUCUAAUGUGCAUUACAUUAAAUUAUACAGCUAUAGAAUUAUCACACAAGCAUUUGAGCUUGUUCUUCCUUUUUUCCUUACUGGAACAAGAGAUAAAGGCAUAAGAGCGCACAUAUUCAGACAGGUUAUAGCACUUUCACAGUAGCAAAACAUCACUGAGUACAGUAGGACUAAAUCUGUUCAUAAGAGCUUGAAAAUUUACACAUUAGCUGAGUUUCGAUGAGAAGAAAAUUAUUUCCAGUAUAACCAUUUGAUGUGAAAGAAAGGAGGGGUCCAAGGUCCAUAAAUAUUCAAGCUAAGAGUGUACAUGGAGUUCAUCUCCUGUUGAGACCAAUGAAGUGUUUUUUACAUUCUUACAGUUGCUUCAUUGUUCUAGAUGAAGUCAACCAGUAUGAGCUCUUUUGAGAAAAAAGACAGUGCUUUGUUCAUCAAGUGACAUACAAAGGCUUUACUGCUUUAUCAGUGCAUUACUUGCUAGCUUCAAUAGUAGCUAAAAUAUUAUUGAAAACUACUAAGGUGUUUCUGCCCAAAUUCGUCCACAAACACUCCUGUGAUUUGUGAACAUUUUAAAUACAUGGUAAGACCGGUGCUGCUGUGUCACACUCAAGAUUUUGGACAUGCAUGGACAAAACAAAGUUUUCCAUGAGCUGCUUUUGUGUGGAGUUAGUGAAAUAGCUACUUUUGUGUGAAAGUUAAUCAUUCAGGAUAUUGUCACAGGGAACCAGAGGCUGGCUGGAUUGUGUUAACUGAUGAACUUCAACACAGAAAGUUGGACUCUUUGUUCAUAAAUCAUUGCUCUUGACUUCUAGAUGUGAAGUUGCACGACUGUUAAUGAUAUCAGAGUACAAAGAACAAGACUAGAAGUUUGAAGCAAGUCCCAGUCUGUGAGAUUCUUCUUAUCGUCUGCUGCUACAAUGAACACAGGGCUACUGAAGGACUGACUGCCUGAUAUCUCUUGUAGUGGGAAAGGUGCUUUAGACAGGAAAUGACUGAGAUAUAAUCUUCUCUGGAAAAAUAAAUGUCUAGUUCUUGAGUGUAAAAUGGAAACUCCAUUACAUAAGCUCUCCCUUAUGGACACAAAAUUAAAGUUUAAUUGAGAAUUUCCUGUGCUCGUAACAAAAAGAUGCAACAAAACAAACAAAAAAACACCACCAAAAAAAAAAAAACCAACCAGCCUGAACAAAAUCCAGAGCCCUCGUGGCUAUAACAACUGGGGAAAAAAAAAUCACCCUGUUAAAAUUCAUGCCUUUAAGUGAAUAGAAAACAUCAUGAAAACCUAAAAUAUUUAGGAUUCAAAGAAAAAUAAAUUAUUAAACAGAAAUGUUUGUCUUCUAUGCCAAAGUCAAUUUCUGACAAUAAACUGAAUAUUCUGUGAUAAAUCAUGUUGAAUUUCAUACACAUUUCUCCUGGAAUUCAGUGAUGCUUCUGACCCAAAAAAGGAAAGGUAAACAUCUUCACUAGCAUCUUAGGUAAGUAUACAGCGCUACAGUCUAAGAAAAGAUGAAGGAGAGGGGUAUUUUCCUCUACUUGUUUACUUUGUACCACAGAGAAUGUUUAUAGAUUUUCUGUUUUAUUGUUGCUGCCAGUUACUAAUUUCCCUUUCUUAUGACUUAGUUAAUUGGAGAACAGUUGGGUUUUCUUGUUUGUUUUUAAUCUGUUUUGUUCUUAAAGAAAGGAAUAGUGCUUUUAAAACCAUAACAGAUAGCAGUAAGAAGUAGAAGAGUAAGUAUGUACAACUUUAAUUUUAUGAAAUUAAUCUAAUUUGACAGUAUUUUUUUAAGUUGAGAUGUACCAAGAUGGUCAAAUCAGUUCUGCAUUGCUACUUAUUGAUGACUGUUGUGCUAAUCUGUCACAUACAACUCAGAAAAGAUUUUGGUUUUUACUCCAUAAAGUUAAUACCGGUAUUUCUAGAGGUCUCAGUAAUGCGUAAGUAUAUCCUAUAAAAUGAGUAAUAAGUGCUGUGUUCAAAGUGAUGUUCUUUUGGUUUGUGUUUUUUUGUUUUUGUUUUGUUUUGUUUCUGACAUAGUCUUCACACUAUGCUACUCGCAGUGAAGUUCUGGAUAAUGUACGAUAUCAUGAUUUGUCUGUGUUAACAUGUAUCCUUCCAUUUACUGAAACUUCUAGCAAAGAAAAACGACACUGGACAAAGUUUAAGUAUCUUUAAAUUUACUUAGCUGGGAAGAUGAAAUUGACCCAAAUACUCUUGCCGCUUAAAUCAAGGUAUGUUGAAGUAAGUAAAGCAACUGCAGUGAUUCCUAUUGUAUUCAAUCUAGACUAUCAUUUGUGUCUCAAUCAGUGUUAUGGGAAAAUGUGUAUGCACAUAUAUACAUACACUUCUUUGGAGCUUCUUUUUAGUAAUUAUUUCUAUUUGCUUCACCUCAGUCCCAAACAAAUAAUGGAUAUGUUGUUUAUCACUUGUUAUACAGUCUGUUUUCUUUUGUUACAUGUCUCCAUUUAUUCCCCUGCCGUAUGAAUGCUAAAUGAGAUUAUGACAAGCCUCAACUAAGUUGUAAGCUUAUAUAAUUAAUAUCUGCUAUCCUUUCUAGAAGAAUUAAAGUGCACAAUGUAUUGCUCCUUCCCUCUUUGCCUUAUGCAUUUAGGUUUUAAUUCUAUCAUCUAAGGAAACCUUUUACUUCUCAGGUAAAAAUGAGGAUCAAAACAAGACCUUUUGUUUCCAUUAGAAGCACUUAAUGGUCUUCUUGUUUUCAGAAGGUCUAAUUGUUUUCAGAAUAGCUUCAUUAACUUCUGAAAGUGUUACCAAGACAGGCAUCCCCAGAGCCAGGAUGCUAAUUAGAAGGAAAACUGGCCUUAGAGUACUUGAAGAAUUGUCUUCUUUAAAAGAGCAAGAAGGCUCAUUCAAUCAUUGACAGAAUGUUUCUGCCAAGAAGUAGGAAUAACUGCCAGUUAUACAAACUCAGAGAAUACCUGUGACAAAUGACUUAUUCCCACAGUCAAAUGACUUCUUCAGACAACCAACAACAGGAAGCUCUCUGACGACUAAGUGAAUAGUGCUAAGAUGUCCAUCACUUUCAGUGCAGUCCAAGUCAUGUUGUUUAUGGCCAACUUCAUCUGUCAGCUCCAAUAUUCCUAAUUCAGUAGGUUACGCAUGUUUGGAGGGUGCUUUGAUUGCUUUCUUAGAUGCCAAAAUAGCAGUAGUAGCACAUUUGGCCUUCAUCACAUUCACACUGACUUUAUGUUGAAACUCUUGUAUGUCCAACCAGAAAAAAAAAAAACAAAAAACCAACAAACUUAUGCAGAACUAAGGAAUAAGCGCAGAUAUAAGAUAUAAACAAAAAUAAAAUAAAUGAGUGAUAACAACUUACAUUCUAACAUCUAUAGAAAAAAUACCUGAAUUAAAAAUAAGUGGUGUGGGGAAAGAAAUUACUCCAAAUUUACGUAAAAAUCACUACCAAAUGAGUCAAAUAGGAAUACUUUUAAACAAAAAUAAGCAACCACUAUUAUCAGUCAGAUCCUAGAAGUUCUAUAUUAAUGUGCAUCUCAGAUGUGUGCUGUUAAUAAACUAAAACAUUCUUUGGCUAGGACUGAGGCAAGACAGUGAGCUACACUGAGCUCUCUGUGGCCAAAACUGUCAAUUCUAAAGGAAGUUUCUGUGUUCUUGCUGUCAUUUGAGAAGUUAUGAACUAUGAUCUGGGCUUGCUACACUGCCAAUAGAAUAGGGAAAGUCACCUCAUCUCAAUAAUAAAACUGUCAGUAACAAAAGGAUAGUUCUUAGUUACUCCAGUAGUUACAGGGAAGCUGAUACUAAGGUCAAACAACAGGGCAAGACCAAUACUAGUGCCAGUGAACAUGUCAACAUUAAGCACCAUUGUUUUUCAGAGAAGUACUUUAACACUUCAAUAUUCUGUGUUUCAGAUGGUAUCUGGACACAGUAGAGGUUUGUUUAUUGAUUCUUAGAUGAAACGAGGGCUGUUAGACAUUCUGGAGGCCAACCUGACAAGACUGGACCCAGAAAAAGGACAGUGCUUCAAAGUCUGAAGGUGACAUUGAAGGAGCUCGGCAGCAGAUUCAAAAAAUCCCAACCGAUUCAAUAGGCAUUAUACGCGCUCUGUGUGUACUUUCUCCUGAGCUUGGCAACCACACAAGUGCUGGCAUUGCUACUUACUCUAAGAUUGCAGUCUGUAUCAGAUUGUGUGCUGAGGAAAAGAAUAAGCUUUUACCAUCAUGGAUGGCAUCAGUAUUCACAACUCCUGCAGUACCUAAAAAAUGAAGACCAGAUAAUGCAAAGUUUCCAAUGAAAUCAACAUGCAUUUAAGUCAGUUAAAUGACUUCAAUCUACAGAGAGGAAAAAUAAUUACAAAUAUCACUUCUCUAACACACAAGAUCACAGCACUGUAAUUGGAAAUGUUACUGGCAUGGUGCCCUUUCCCUGUGCUGACGGUAUUUCCAAGCGUGCUGCCUUAUUGUUUCUGUGCUAGAUUGAUAUUAAAGCAACUACAAUGAAAGGGAAUGACUCGAAAAUUUUCCAGUACUAGGCUUGAUGCCCAUGGCAUUUUGAAACUUUCUGCCCACCUUCUUCCACUCAGCAUAACCAAAGGCAAAAUAGAUGCAACCAAGACAAGUGUUCAUUAGUAGGAGGUUCUGUAUUUUCCUACCUUCUCCCAGAUCAAGGUGAAAAACGUGGGCUUUAUGACGUAUGCAGUGUUAGCUCUACUGUAGCAAUCAGUAAGUUGUACUAUAGGAGAAUGACACAUUUUUAUCAGCUAGCUCACUGAAAGGAAGGACUGGUUGCAAGUGAUAUUUGUACAGGGCAAUCUCUUGAGAGGUAGAUGGCUGAGAGGCAAGGUUGUCAGCAGCUGGACCCUCAAAGGUAGUUUUAUAUUAAGAAAACAUCGGAGAAUCCUGCUAGGGAACAAUGCCACCAGUGUGUGGGCAUAAAUAGAUGGAUUUUACUUACGUAAGCCCUUAAAAAUCCCUGUGUGAUUAAUAGAAGCUUAAUAAAGGGGACAGCUGCAUUUGUAAGGAAUCUGUACCCAUUAGGUGAACUCAUACUUCUUGUUCUUCCUAAGCUAAGAUAGCUCUUUCUCUCUUGAAUUGUUACCAGGCUUUUUUGCGUACUGAUCCCAGAGAGCAAGUGAUCUUUUAAAAAUCAUGUUUUACCCAGAACUACAGGAACAAAACAAUUUUUCUGAACUAGUUACUCGUCUGUAGUUGAGCCUAGUUGGGAAUGGUUACUGGAACUAACAGUGGACAGUUUAUUUCUUCCAUGGAGAACAAAAGAGCCUUUUGGAAACACUCAUUUUCAGUUUCCUUUGCUGCACCAAGCCUAGUAAGAGUAUAUUUUCGAUGCUAAAAUGUUAACGUGUUGGGCUGAUGAACAUCCCUUGGACAGUAGGAUUACACAACAAGAUCAGUAGCCCCACAAUCCCGUACUUUCCAGUUAGUUUUGAGAUAAACAUAUAGGUAUGUUCUGCCUUUUCUUUUGAUAACCUUUCCUUCCUUUUUGUAAAUAGAGGUUUUAAACUCAGAAGAGAAUAUUUUCUGCCCCUGGUACAUCUGUAUCAACUUCAUCCCCCUCAGCAAGCUGCCAACUCUGCAACUAUACACAGGCUUCCAUUAGGUGCAUACCAUUUUAUCCAGGACAGAAAGAUGGACUUAUUUUAUAAAACAGGAUGAAGUGGAGAGAGUAGAUUCAGUAGGACAACUAGUUAAUAUAAAUUACUAAGAAAUACAAUGCUAAAAAUAUCCUGUCUCCAUCAGUUUAAAUUCACACCUACUCCUAUCUGAGCAGGAGAGAGAAAACAGAAAUCUCCUUCAGCUUUCAAAACUUCAUCCAUCUCCUGAGAAUCAAAUCUUCAGCUGGCAGAUGUCAGCAGGCAGCACCAGAACCGUACUAUAUUCCUGAAGGAUCCACUCUUCAACACCAGACUGCCACAACUGGAACGUCAGAGUUACAGAUAACUCUCAGCAUUCCUUGGGGACAGUUAAAUUCCCUGGAGGCCUUGUAUGUUGCUGUCAGCCUGACUGGGUAGUAAAGCAGACCAUGACUUCAGCAGUGUUAAAGAAUGAAGAACUGAAAGAGAGAGCUGCUGCAUCCUCAAAGGCGAGAGCUGUCUUUUCAAAAUACUAG